UAGGGUCUGAUUGCUGCCUGAGACACCAUAUCGGUACUCCUCAGAGUUGGUGGCUGCCAUGAGAUAGUCAUGUGUUCAGGAGUAACAUCCAGAAUAUUAAUAGGACCUGUUGGUGGCCCAGGAACAUCAAGAACAGUAAGAUGUACUGCUACUGUUUUGCUACCAGCUGCAUUGGAAACUGUGAUUUGAUAUUCCCCAGUGUCUCUCCUUAAGCAGUUCUUAAUGAGAAUAGACACCUUGAUGGCUCCUCUGGCAGUUCUUGAUGACCAUGGAUGAGCUAAUGGCUGUGGUCUCAAUGGUGGCUUCUUGAGGAGCAUGCAGAGAAAUUGUUUUAGCCUCUGAUAAAUAAAACAGCCUGCCAUGAGAAAAUUACAGCAAGGAAAUUACAGACAUCAUCUCCUUUGAAUAGGGAAAAGGUAACAGUUACAUCUUUGAGAGGGGUGAGGAAUUUGAGCCGGAUUCCUAUCAAGAAAAAAAGAAAGAA
rnacentral:antisense_RNA from 1 species